UCUGCCGGCACAUCUGCAGGGACACCCUGCAGGGUUGAGCCUGGCCAAUACCAGGAUGGGAGACCUCCUGGGGAAAACUAAGGUUGCUGCUGGAA
rnacentral:rRNA from 1 species